rnacentral:rRNA from 1 species
GAUCCUGGCUCAGAGCGAACGCUAGCGGCGGGCUUAACACAUGCAAGUCGAGCGGAGAGCUUCGGCUCUCAGCGGCGAACGGGUGAGUAACACGUAGGUCAUGUACCCUUUGAUGGGGAAUAACCUAGGGAAACCUGGGCUAAUACCGCAUAUGUCCUUCGGGAUGAAAGCCUUCGGGCGUCAGAGGAUCGGCCUGCGGCCCAUUAUUUAAUCCUAGUUGGUAGGGUAAUGGCCUACCAAGGGUACGAUGGGUAGCUGGUCUGAGAGGAUGAUCAGCCACACUGGAACUGAGACACGGUUCAGACUCCUACGGGAGGCAGCAGUGGGGAAUAUUGGACAAUGGGCGAAAGCCUGAUCCAGCCACGCCGCGUGGGUGAUGAAGGCCUUCGGGUUGUAAAGCCCUGUCGGGAGGGACGAAUCAAUGACGGUACCUCCCAAGAAAGCACCGGCUAACUCCGUG